rnacentral:ribozyme from 14 species
AGAGAGAGACAAAAGCGAAAGCAAAACAAAACAAGGAAAUGAGUAAGAUAGUUUUUUUUGUUUUUUUUUUGUUUUUUC